GUCUCAAUAGCUCAGUGGUAGUAGCGUGCGAUUGCAGUUUGCACUGUAUCGCAAUGUCACGUGUUCGAACCACGUUUGGGACU